rnacentral:tRNA from 1 species
AAAGGGCUAGUUAAUAUAUAAUAUAAACUUGUCGAGUUUAAGUUACCCAAUGGUGCUCUUUU